UUUGAUGAUAAGAGGAGAGGUAGAAGAGCCUUGCUAACUGUAAAUGAGGAGUUAUAUUAAUACGAAGUUUCCGAACUGACUUUUGGAGUAAACCAAGUUGUAUGCAGUGAUGGACGGUCUUUCCCAGCGGAGCAACAAGUAAUGUUACACAGGUCGAGCUACGGCUAUGCUUGCUAAUUAUGCUAGAUAGGAGUGUUGAUAACAGAGAUUGUCUGAAGGAGCCGUCUGCCAACAAAGAUAUUGUUUUAUCGGAGAACAAAUGUAUUCACAAAGUGGAUAACCAUUCAACGUUAUUGAAGAUUCCUGUGACAGAUAAGCACUUAUGAUUGCUUUCCCUAACCAUUUUGUAAUGCAUUUCUUUAUGACCGCAGCCCCUACAGACACAUUUUGCUACGCAUUUUUUUAUAUGUGUUAACGCAUGCUCUAGAUUUGGACAUUUAAUGCUGAGAAAUAUUGCGGAGUUUGGUUGAAUUUGCAAUAAUUAUUGCGCUCGCAAGAUUGCGAUUUCCUGGAGGGGCUAAAACAGUACCUGUAUUCACCCCUAGGAUAACCUUUGGAAGUUAAUUUUUGUCCUCUGUAGGGAACAUGAGUCUGAAACCUGCACUACAAGGGACAUUCAGUAAAAAUAAAAUACAAAAUGUUUUUGAGAAUGCUUUCACUUACAUGAUGUAUCUUUGUAAAAAACAAAGCACUGUCGCCUGACACCAAGAAGGUUCUGGGUUUGAAUCUCGGCUUGGGGCCUUGCAUGUUCUGUAGUUUGCAUGUUCUCCGCAUGUCUGCGUGGGUUUCUUCCGGGUAUUCCGGUUUCCUCCCACAGUCCCACAGGCUAAUUGGAGACUCUAAAUUGCCCAUAGGUAUGAGUAUGUGAGUGAAUGGCGUGUGAGCCCUAUGAUAGAUUGGUGUCUAUCCAGGGUGUAUUCCUGCCUCUUGCCCAAUGCACGCUGGGUUAAGCUCCAGCACCUCCCGCGACCAGGAUAAGUGGGUAUAGAUAAUGGAUGGGUGGAAUUCUCAGGAGGAUAUGACAAACCUGACUAAAUUGGAAAUGGGGGUGGGGUGGAAGAUGGGGGCACUUAACCUGAAAAGAAAUUAAGGUUCUGCUCUGGUUCAGUGCACUGUCACUUUCACACAAGAAUUUGUGCAGUCUGAUGAGGAAGCCAGUUUAAUGCACAUAGAACAUACAGAAUGAGUCUUUAAUAUCUUAAAAUAUCUUUGCUGUGGACAAGAAAAUAACAACAAUUAAAAAACAUUUUUACAUGGUGGAAUAUGAAAAGAGGGUGUGAACUCCAAUGAAUAGCUAACUACAUGCUCGGUGCUAUGUAUACAUCAAGGUUAAUGCUACACUGCAUAAAAUGUUUCUGUUGUCUGAAAAAUAUAAAUUUACAUGAAGAGUAGUUGAGUGCUUUUUUGAUAUGUUCUGCUUUGAAGAACACAUACUUUUCAGGGUGCAUUCAGUAUUACAUAACGACAACAAAAGCAAAAAGAUUAACCAAUAGCAGUCAUUUAUUUCUGCAAAUACAUUUUCUUUGUAGCUAUUGAAUACAUAACUGUAAUCUUUCGGUCCUUGUUUUGGGUACAUUCGUUGCAUUUAGAUCUGAGGGUUUCCUUUGCAAUAAUUAAUUCCUUUAAUUAAAUCUAUAAUUAGGGAAGACUUAAUGUGAAAAAAACAGGAGUCUAGUCAGCAGUUGACACAGCAGUCUAAUCUGCUUCAAAAACAUCAAUAAGGACAAACAUGGACCUGUGUUUUCAGUCCUGGGUAAGCGGUCGCCCUGCCCCUGUGAGAUGUUGAGAGAAGCUGUCUAGAAGAUCACCAAACCGGCUCCCAUUGCACACAUGAUCCACACGCCCCCAUCUUUACCCGUCAACAGAAUCCUAGUAACUCGUGGCCAUCUAUUCACUGAUGAAUCCAUCAUGCAUUAUCCUGUGACUGCGUGACAACAGAAGCACUUCACACUUCAAACAAAGACACUGAAAACCAUGGGAGUGAUCACUGUCUACGCGGAAUCCACGCCUGGCCCGGAAUCACAAGGCAAGGCAGUGAAUGGGGACGCUCAUAAUACAACACCACAUAACACAAACAACACCAACAUCAGUGGCACACAUGCGCACACACUGUGCAUAAUUACAGUAUAGUAUUACGUGGUAUAUAAUUACCACAUCUUUCUCUUUCCCUCUCAGUCUUUCUCUACAUUUGCGAUAAAUGACUAACAAGCACAGCCUCAGGAUCCUUAUGAAUACAAGAAAUAAUUUAUUUCUGGUGCCGCAGUAAAUGAUGUGAUGAAAAUAAUAAUAAUAUUUUAAAUGUAUUAUUAUUUACUACUUUAAAAAAAUACUUAUUUGUUUAUUUAUUUCUUUUUUAUAUUUAUUUUUGUUUAUUUUAUUUUAUCUGCUGAAAGAAUAUGAUGUUUUGGAGGAAACUGCAAAAUGCAGCUGAUGUCUCACCUGAGCCUCCUCCUCCUGUCCAUUAUUGGCUUGUUUGCAUCACUCUUGCCAUCCCCUCUACUCCCUGCAGGAAUUCUGCUUGACAGCAGUAAAGGUGAAGUGAAGGCCAUGUGCACAUGUGACCCUGUAUGAUUGACAGGAGCUCGAACUGUUGUUCACCUGCAAUUUUGACGUGCUGAUCUCCACAAUGAGAGAACAGUGGCUGCCAACACAGCUGUUCUGAUUUGGCGCUGGCCGGGGAGAAUGUGGGAUCAGGCUGCGGCGUUUUUGGUUCCUAGCCCCUAAACAUAAACGCAAUCUAAUAUCUCAGAUGACUGAUAUGUUAGAUUGUCUGACACUAUUGGCUUGUAUAUUUUGAUCUUGUUUCAGUGAAAUUUAAAUUUCUUUGAAAUAAAAGACACCAAACACAUUUACUUGCAUUAUUUCCUUGAAUUCAUGAUUUCUUAUCUAGUUUUUCAUCCAUCUGAGUCGAAAAAUCAAUUAUUUUCAGAUGACACCUAGAUUUCGAAAUAGGGUUUAGAGUUAGAAUAGUUGUUUGGUUUAGGGUUAAGAAAAUGGUAAGUGGGUUGAGGCAAGAUUAUGAUCGUGUUUAGGAUCUUUGGAAAGUAUUAGAACAACGGUUAUUUUGAUUUUGGAUGAGCCAGUUUUCUUCACUGUUAGGCCAUAGCACUAUGGAGCCGAGAGAUUACAGCAGCAUUGUUCUCAUUCUCAAAACGUUCUCACAAUAUUGCUGCAGUGUUGAGGCAAUGUUAUAACCUUGACAAAACAUUUCAGUAACAUUGUGAGAACACUGUUAGCUGGAAUACCUCUAGAAAGCCCUGGAUUUUUUCCAACACUGAAACUUUUUGCCCCAUCAUGUACACCUGUGGUAACCAACCCUCACUCUAGAGAUCUACCAUCCCAUAGGUUUUCACUCCAACCUUAAUGAUCUUGUUGAGCUGCCAAGUAGUAGAGUGAGGUAUGCAAAAAUUAGGGUUGAAAUGAAAACCUACAGGAUGGUAAAUCACCAGGAACAGGGUUCGUUACCACUAGUGUACACAAUGUAGUUAUGCAUGAUUAGUUGUAUAUUUCUUUUGACAUGCUGUGAUAUUUAAAGUGUGUUAGCAUUAGCCUUCAGCUGUGGACCUGGUUGGCUAUAUUCAGAACUUAAUAUAUUUUGUGAUCAAUAUCAAGGCAGAGUAAGGAAAUUAAUAUUUCAAAAGUAGGAAUUUGUUCUGUACUUUGGUGCACAAUUAAUUGCUAUCAGCUAUCACCAAAAUUAUCUCACCGUAUUGUGUUCAUGGAGCAAAACUCAAAUGUUUGCAUUUACUUGCAAGUCAAAGUAAAGGAUACAUGUUGACUGAGCCCUUUGUCUGACAGGUUCCUCACCCCCAAACACGUGGUGAAAACAGCUCACUGAGACAGUCCUGAUGGGAUUGGGCUGCUGAAGACCAGAGGGGGAGCGAGCGAAACACAAUGAGAACUGCCUUUGUUACAGUUUCCUGCUCGUCCAUCUAUGCCUCCCGCCCGUGCAUCUGGAACGAGGCAGAAUGAACACAAAUGAGAUUUAUUUUCGUUGAGCGGCAUGCAAGUGUCAAGGCCAGCGAAGCACUCAGCAAAGCAUUCAGGUAAACAGCCAGGAAAUGACUGAGGAGGGGCUGACGGCCAAGAUCCUCGGAAUCUUGUGGAUUAAGGGGAGUUUGAAUGAAAAGCACUCUAGGAAAAUAAAGGACUGACCUGCCAGAUGAAAACACAGCAAAGCACUCAUUCAAUUAUUAACCCCCCCCCCCCCCCCCACAUUACCCCCACCAUCAUGCAAAUCCCAUUUUAUCCCAAAGUCUUCUGGCAUUCCUGCUGGAGCUGCAUACUGGCACAAGCUGGGAGAACUCUGCCCUCUCAGAGUCCUCAGAUAUUUUUUUCAUUCCAUUCCAUAACUUGGCGGCAUCUCAGAAUUUGUUUUCAGUGGAAGAUUAAACCCCCAGCGUGAUUGGCAAUAUCAUUAUAUCCAGGUAAUCACCCGGGCAAUAUUUUUAACAAGAGAAUAGUUCACUAUUUUUCAGUUAAUAGUUCAGUAUUAGCUUUCUUGAAGUGAUUUUUUUAGAAGUAAAAAGUUUAAGGACUCAUUAAAAAGUGUAAUAACAUGGCAGACUUUUAACUGUAUAUCCUCAUGAUUUUUUAAACUGUAUUUUCUCUUAUGAGAAAGCAGCAUUGGGGGUCUAUUUCAACUUUUCAUUAAAGUGGUAUAGUUUUCAGUGAAGUUACCUAUUUUAUAUAUAAAAAGGGGCCUUGAUUUACAUUUACACCCAUAUACUGUAACAAUCUGGCAUUGUUUUUUUUGU